UAGGGAAUCUUCGGCAAUGGACGGAAGUCUGACCGAGCAACGCCGCGUGAGUGAAGAAGGUUUUCGGAUCGUAAAGCUCUGUUGUAAGAGAAAAACGAGUGUGAGAGUGGAAAGUUCACACUGUGACGGUAUCUUACCAGAAAGGGACGGCUAACUACGUGCCAGCAGCCGCGGUAAUACGUAGGUCCCGAGCGUUGUCCGGAUUUAUUGGGCGUAAAGCGAGCGCAGGCGGUUAGAUAAGUCUGAAGUUAAAGGCUGUGGCUUAACCAUAGUACGCUUUGGAAACUGUUUAACUUGAGUGCAAGAGGGGAGAGUGGAAUUCCAUGUGUAGCGGUGAAAUGCGUAGAUAUAUGGAGGAACACCGGUGGCGAAAGCGGCUCUCUGGCUUGUAACUGACGCUGAGGCUCGAAAGCGUGGGGAGCAAACAGGAUUAGAUACCCUGGUAGUCCACGCCGUAACGAUGAGUGCUAGGUGUUAGACCCUUUCCGGGGUUUAGUGCCGCAGCUAACGCAUUAAGCACUCCGCCUGGGGAGUACGACCGCAAGGUUG
rnacentral:rRNA from 1 species